rnacentral:rRNA from 1 species
GUGGGGAAUAUUGGACAAUGGGCGAAAGCCUGAUCCAGCCAUGCCGCGUGUGUGAAGAAGGUCUUCGGAUUGUAAAGCACUUUAAGUUGGGAGGAAGGGCAGUAAGUUAAUACCUUGCUGUUUUGACGUUACCGACAGAAUAAGCACCGGCUAACUUCGUGCCAGCAGCCGCGGUAAUACGAAGGGUGCAAGCGUUAAUCGGAAUUACUGGGCGUAAAGCGCGCGUAGGUGGUUUUGUAAGUUGGAGGUGAAAUCCCCGGGCUCAACCUGGGAACUGCCUCCAAAACUGCAUGACUAGAGUACGGUAGAGGGUAGUGGAAUUUCCUGUGUAGCGGUGAAAUGCGUAGAUAUAGGAAGGAACACCAGUGGCGAAGGCGACCACCUGGACUGAUACUGACACUGAGGUGCGAAAGCGUGGGGAGCAAACAGGAUUAGAUACCCGUGUAGUCC